UACGGAGGGUGCGAGCGUUAUCCGGAAUUACUGGGUUUAAAGGGUGCGUAGGCGGCGCUGUAAGUCAGGAGUGAAAGUUUGCGGCUCAACCGUAAAAUUGCUUUUGAUACUGCGGUGCUAGAAUUAGGAUGAGGUCAGCGGAAUGUGGCAUGUAGCGGUGAAAUGCAUAGAUAUGCCAUAGAACACCAAUUGCGAAGGCAGUUCACUAAGCUGUCAUUGACGCUGAGGCACGAAAGCGUGGGGAGCGAACAGG
rnacentral:rRNA from 1 species